UGUGUUCGCUUGUUUGUUUGCCAGAUGACCCUGAGAUAGAAGCACAACAAUGGACAGAGGUGAAUGGACAGGUAUACGGACACGUUCUGCUGAGAUUUAUCUUUCCUCCCUUCUACAAUGGUUAUGAGAAGUUAUGUUCUAAACUAUAUCCGGGGCCAUUUCCUGUUGUGAAUACCAGAGGAUAUGUCAACCACUUCUACAAGGGAAGAAUAUCGAGAACGGAAUACAACGGUGAGAUGUACGUUAUGAUAUGGAACUUAAAACCUGUGGACGCUGGCGACUACAGGUGUGUUGUCAGCAGUGUGAAUCAUAUCUACUCUGACUUUCACCUCCACAUUGGUAAGAACCCUCGUAAAUGAAUCAAACCAUCUUUUAAAUGAAGUAAAGAACUAUUUUGUUCUAUUCUAGUAACUGCUAUUAGAAACUGGAAUUUCAUACUGUAGGUAAACCAAUGUGUUGAGGCCAAGGAAAUCUGUAAGCAUUGUACAGUAGCAGGAAGAUUACAUGUAUUUAUUUUAUUUAACCUUUAUUUAACUAGGCAAGUCAGUUUAAGAACAAAUUCUUAUUUACAAUGACGGCCUACGCUAAGUCAACUUGUAAAAGAACAGAUCGCUGUGUUGAAAUGAGUGCUUAUUCGGUCUCUGUUUAGAUAGUGGUCGACGUAGCGGUCUUGUACCCCCUCGACCUCGUGUCAGAACAACCAUCAGACCCUCCAUCUCAUCAUCAUCCUCCUCAGACACCUCUGGGCCUGUUUUCCCCAGUGUUUCCUGGAGUGUUGGUAUACCACUGGCUGCAGGUCUCUGCAUCACGAUGGGGAUCAUUAUCUGUUCAAUCAUAGUUGCUGUGGUUCAUCGCAAAGUCAGGGCAAAAAAGAAAUGUGGAGCAACGUCCAGUGACUCAGCAGCCCACAUCGUCUCACAUGUCCCUCAAGAGGAGAGCAGUAUUGUCUACACCACAGUGAACUUCAAACCUCAUGAGAACCAUACCACAGAGCUGUAUGCUAACCUACAGACACUCAGCAGCCCCAGAGGUCAUGACCCUGACACACACAGAGAGCCUGCUGGGACGGUGGUGUACUCCACACUGGCUAGCAACCAAUGCUGAACCGGAUUGUUACGUAUCUGUAUCUUUCUUAGCCUGGUGGUCACAGAUCUGUUUGUGCUGUCUUGAUAUGCUAUCAUGACCAGGCUAUCUGUAUAAUCCUUAGUUGCUACAUAUUUAACAUUUUUUAUUAAUUUUAUUAACUUAUAAAUGCCU